rnacentral:rRNA from 1 species
UACGGAGGAUGCAAGCGUUAUCCGGAUUUAUUGGGCGUAAAGCGUCCGCAGGUGGUUGUUCAAGUCUGCUGUUAAAGCGCGAGGCUUAACCUUGUACAGGCAGUGGAAACUGAGCGACUAGAGUAUGGUAGGGGUAGCGGGAAUUCCCAGUGUAGCGGUGAAAUGCGUAGAUAUUGGGAAGAACACCAGCGGCGAAGGCGACUACCUGGCCUGUUUCUUGACGCUGAGGCGCGAAAGCUAGGGGAGCAAACGGG